rnacentral:rRNA from 1 species
AACGAACGCUGGCGGCAUGCCUAAUACAUGCAAGUCGAACGAGCCCUUCGGGGUUAGCGGCGCACGGGUGCGUAACGCGUGGGAAUCUGCCCUUGGGUUCGGAAUAACGUCUGGAAACGGACGCUAAUACCGGAUGAUGACGAAAGUCCAAAGAUUUAUCGCCCAGGGAUGAGCCCGCGUAGGAUUAGCUAGUUGGUGAGGUAAAGGCUCACCAAGGCGACGAUCCUUAGCUGGUCUGAGAGGAUGAUCAGCCACACUGGGACUGAGACACGGCCCAGACUCCUACGGGAGGCAGCAGUAGGGAAUAUUGGACAAUGGGGGCAACCCUGAUCCAGCAAUGCCGCGUGAGUGAUGAAGGCCUUAGGGUUGUAAAGCUCUUUUACCCGGGAUGAUAAUGACAGUACCGGGAGAAUAAGCCCCGGCUAACUCCGUGCCAGCCGCCGCAGUAAUAC